UGGAGGAAAGUAGGGGAUCGUAAGACCUUGCGCUUUUGGAGCGGCCGAUGCCUGAUUAGCUAGUUGGUGGGGUAAAAGCCUACCAAGGCAACGAUCAGUAGUUGGUCUGAGAGGACGGCCAGCCACACUGGGACUGAGACACGGCCCAGACUCCUACGGGAGGCAGCAGUGGGGAAUUUUGGACAAUGGGCGCAAGCCUGAUCCAGCAAUGCCGCGUGAGUGAAGAAGGCCUUCGGGUUGUAAAGCUCUUUCAGUCGAGAAGAAAAGAUUGUGACGAAUAAUCACAAUUCAUGACGGUAUCGACAGAAGAAGCACCGGCUAACUACGUGCCAGCAGCCGCGGUAAUACGUAGGGUGCAAGCGUUAAUCGGAAUUACUGGGCGUAAAGGGUGCGCAGGCGGCUUUGUAAGUCAGAUGUGA
rnacentral:rRNA from 1 species